rnacentral:rRNA from 1 species
UUGGGAAUCUUGCGCAAUGGGGGCAACCCUGACGCAGCGACGCCGCGUGCGGGAUGACGGUCUUCGGAUCGUAAACCGCUUUUCCCGGGGACGAUGAUGACGGUACCCGGGGAAUCAGCCCCGGCUAACUCCGUGCCAGCAGCCGCGGUAAGACGGAGGGGGCGAGCGUUGUCCGGAAUUACUGGGCGUAAAGGGCGCGUAGGCGGUCGCGUACGGCGGUGGUGAAAGCUCCCGGCUCAACUGGGAGAGGCCCGCCGCAACGGCGCGACUCGAGGGCGGUAGGGGCGGAUGGAAUUCCUGGUGUAACGGUGAAAUGUGUAGAGAUCAGGAGGAACACCCGUGGCGAAGGCGGUCCGCUGGGCCGCACCUGACGCUGAGGCGCGAAAGCCAGGGGAGCGAACGGG